rnacentral:rRNA from 1 species
UCCGGGUUGAUCCUGCCAGAUCCGACUGCUAUCCGGGUAAGACUAAGCCAUGCAAGUCGAAUGGAAUCGCUGAUUCCAUGGCGAACUGCUCAGUAACAAGUGAUCAACUUACCCUUCAGUGGGGGAUAACCUCGGGAAACUGAGGCUAAUCCGCCAUAGUUGGCACACCCUGGAACGGGGUGCCCUCGAAAGAUAUUUCGAAAUGCCGAAUGUUCGCUGAAGGAUAGGAUCGCUUUCGAUUACGGUUGUUGGUGAGGUAAUGGCUCACCAAGCCUCUGAUCGAUAAGGGCCGUGAGAGCGGUAGCCCUGAGAUGGAUACUGAGACAAUGAUCCAGGCCUUACGAGGCGCAGCAGGCGCGAAACCUUUACAAUGCACGACAGUGUGAUAAGGUUACCCGGAGUGCUAAGAGAAAACUUUUAGCUGUUAUAGGUGUGUAAAUAACCCUAUGAGAAAGGAGAGGGCAAGGCUGGUGCCAGCCGCCGCGGUAAAACCAGCUCUUCAAGUGGUCGGGAAUAUUAUUGGGCUUAAAGUGUCCGUAGCCGGUUAGAACAGUUCCUGGUAAAAUCUGGCAGCUUAACUGUCAGGUCGCUAGGAAUACUAUCUUACUAGAGGGUGGGAAAGGUUUGGGGUACUCCA